rnacentral:rRNA from 1 species
ACUAACAGGAUUCCCCUAGUAACUGCGAGUGAAGCGGGAAAAGCUCAAAUUUAAAAUCUGGCGGUCUCUGGCCGUCCGAGUUGUAAUCUAGAGAAGUAAUGCCCGUGCUGGACCGUGUAUAAGUCUCCUGGGAUGGGGCGUCAUAGAGGGUGAGAAUCCCGUCUUUGACACGGACUACCAGUGCAUUGUGGUAUGCUCUCAAAGAGUCGAGUUGUUUGGGAAUGCAGCUCAAAAUGGGUGGUAAAUUCCAUCUAAAGCUAAAUAUUGGCGAGAGACCGAUAGCGAACAAGUACCGUGAGGGAAAGAUGAAAAGAACUUUGGAAAGAGAGUUAAACAGUACGUGAAAUUGCUGAAAGGGAAACGCUUGAAGUCAGUCGCGUUGGCCAGGGAUCAGCCUUGCUUUUGCAUGGUGUAUUUUCUGGUYGACGGGUCAGCAUCAAUUUUGACCGCUGGAAAAGGUCCUGGGGAAUGUGGCAGCUCCGGCUGUGUUAUAGCCCCUGGUCGCAUACAGUGGUUGGGAUUGAGGAACUCAGCACGCCGCAAGGCCGGGUUUCGACCACGUCCGUGCUUAGGAUGCUGGCAUAAUGGCUUUAAGCGACCCGUCUUGAAACACGGACCAAGGAGUCUAACAUGCCUGCGAGUAUUUGGGUGGAAAACCCGAGUGCGCAAUGAAAGUGAAAGUUGAGAUCCCUGUCGUGGGGAGCAUCGACGCCCGGACCAGAACUUUUGGGACGGAUCCGCGGUGGAGCAUGUAUGUUGGGACCCGAAAGAUGGUGAACUAUGCCUGAAUAGGGUGAAGCCAGAGGAAACUCUGGUGGAGGCUCGUAGCGAUUCUGACGUGCAAAUCGAUCGUCAAAUUUGGGUAUAGG